CUGGACUUACCUGGAAGUACCUUGAAGCUACUGUCUAUUUUUUUUCCUUCCCCAUAAGCCUAAGGUGUGGGGAAGGCUCCCUCUCUGGAGGAGCAGGUCGGAAGACCUCGGUGCAAAAGCAGGGACCCCCUGGCUGACCCUGUUCUCCCUCUGCAAAAUAAAGGAACCCCACCGGUGCAGAACCGUGCCACUGCACCCAUAAGACAGCCCGAGGCUCCUGGCAGACCCUACUGGGAAUUACACAGCAAGAUGGCUUUCCCUACUCCAUCGUGGCUAGAGCCUCUGCAAGGGCUGAAGCCCUUUGAUCUUGGCUUCAUUUGGAUACAUUUCAAGGGUACAACAUGAUGGCAAGGUAUGAACCAACACAGAUGGGUUCAGUUUCCAAGUGUGAUGAUGGAGAUGGAAACGGGCAAGAGGAGCUGCAGGGAAGGUGUGGAGAAGCACGCAUGUACAGGACUGGUGAUCCCCGCGGGCGUGGCACCUGUAAACAAGACUAGAAACAGACAUUGAACAUAAGUGGUGUGGAAUAAUGUUAAGCUUCUCUGAUGGGUCCUAAAUGGUUGAAGAACACCCCUCAAGAGAUGGGAAGAUUCUAAGAGCCAGAGAGAAUGGAUUACUCCAAGGCAACACAAUGGGACUGAUGACCACAUGAACUCUUAGAGACUGUAGCAGCUUGCACCAGGCCUGUACAGGUUCAAGCCAGAUGGGGUUCCAGCACUGAGAGGGGAAUUGGACAUGGACGUCUACUCCUUACUAAGAAGCUCUCUGCAACUGAUACCGACUUGCAAAGGAAAAUAGUUUUCUCCAAUGAAGUACCACUGAGUAUAUUAACCAUACUUCAAGGUAUGUGGAGCCUGACUGUGAAACUCACAUAAGACCUAUGCAACCAUGAGUAACUCCACUUCUGGAUAAUCCAGUGCCUUCUUUCUGACCGCCACAGGCAUGAGGUAGUGUGCAUUUUCUCCUGAACUGCCACCUAAUGUGCACACAUGGCUCAGCCUUCUGCAAACUUUUGGCCAAGGGAGAAAGCUCAGAGCUUGGCUGAUAUGCUGGACUCCCCAAAGUCUCCAGGUCUCCAGGGACGGUGCCUGUAACUUACCUGAAGAGGAACUGGUAGACAAGUCAUCUGAAAACAACUGAGGAAUCCUGCCCUGACCUAUCAGCUGUCUGCUGCCUCCCAACUCUUGCAGCCUUGGGAGAGGCACAUUCACUUGGAAAUGUGAUGAACAGGUGUCCAUUUACUUUGGAUUCAGGCCAAAGAGUCAAGCCAAUGUCAUUUGUAAGGCACAAUCAUUUUAAGUUCAGACCCAUGAAGAUCUUUUCUUGUACUUUUGUCUGAAUUAGAGAAACAACUUAAGCUGUCGUGCUUGGGGACAUUACUUUGAGAAAGCUACUUUGGAGGCACAACUCCCUAGGGUAAAGAAGAAAUAGCUUCCCGUCUUCCUAUGCAGGAAACUGCUGAAAUAGCUGACUCUACCCUCAAAGUUUAGAGUUCAUGUUCUCUGUGCACUUGGGUCCAUAUGUUCAAAGUGGCUUGGGAAAUAAUUUAUCAGUAGUUAACAUCCCUUUCCUAUCAGCUGUUUCCAGGAAAAAAAGCUAAUGUUGAGCAAUGGAAGUUGUUUCAACCUACAUCU